GUUCUUUCCCAUGUUGCCUGUUGUUUCACAGAUCCUAAUAAUACAGGGACAUCUUCAAGUGUGGAAUCGAAAGAGGUAGAAGAAUGUCCUGAACCUGAUCAUGGUGAUGCUCCCACAACUCUCUACAUGGUAGGUUCUGAGGCAUCUUCAAAUCUGGAAUCGAAAGAGACGGAAGUGUGUCAUGGACAUGUUGAUGAGUAUGCUGAAAAUGUUGCAGCGGAUGCUCCUACUGUUGUAGGUUCUGGUACUGCUCUAAGAUGAUCCUUGGAUUCAAAAGAGACAGAAGAGUUAUGUGGGCACAAUGAUGGUUGUGCUGAACUUGAUGUGGGUAAUGCUCCCACAGCUUCCAUUACUGUAGGUUCUGAUGGUGAGCCAGUUUUGACUUUGAAUAUAAAAGGGAACGAAGACCGUCAAGG